rnacentral:lncRNA from 1 species
CUUUUAUAAAAAAGUUAUACAUUUAUUUAGGUUUUCUAUUUCAAUGCUUUGGCCAGAAGCUUUGGAGCAAAGUUUUGCUCCUGAUUUCAAAAGUUAAAUAUUUAGUUUUACAUUGUUAAGGGGGAUGCUGAUUUAAGAUAAAUAUUCUUCAUAUUCUUUACAUUGUUAAGGAAAUAGUCUUCUGUUCUCAAUUUUAAAGGAUUUGUCAGGAAAGUGGGUCUAAAUAUUAUGUCAUAGUUCUUGGUUUAUAUUAAGUUUAAUAAGUAAAAAAUCACUGUAUAAAGCAUUAGGACAGUAGUUGGCAUGUGAAGUUGACAAACUCAUUUCACGCCUACCAAAUUGUUUUAUGUUCCUUUGCCAAAUUUAUGAUAGAUGAGACACACACUUUUAAUUCUUCAAUCUUUCCAGCCUUCUGAUAUUAUUAUUAUUCUGAUAUUCCUUGCCCUUCUGGACUCAUAGGUAGUUGUUUUUUCAGGCAUCCUGAUUACUCUGUAAUCAAGUCAACACAUGG